UACGAGUGCCCCAAGCGUUAUCCGGAAUCAUUGGGCGUAAAGGGUGUGUAGGUGGUCAUGUUAGUCUUCUGUCAAAAUUCUUCGGCUUAACCGGGGGCAUGCGGAGGAAACGGCAUGACUAGAGGAUGCGAGAGGUGAAUGGAACUCAUGGAGUAGGGGUGAAAUCCGUUGAUAUCAUGGGGAACACCAAAAGACGAAGGCAAUUCACUGGCGCACUCCGUGACACUGAGACACGAAAGCGUAGGUAGCGAAAUGGG
rnacentral:rRNA from 1 species